rnacentral:rRNA from 1 species
GACGAACGCUGGCGGCGUGCUUAACACAUGCAAGUCGAACGGAAAGGCCCUGCUUUUGUGGGGUGCUCGAGUGGCGAACGGGUGAGUAACACGUGAGUAACCUGCCCUUGACUUUGGGAUAACUUCAGGAAACUGGGGCUAAUACCGGAUAGGAGCUCCUGCUGCAUGGUGGGGGUUGGAAAGUUUCGGCGGUUGGGGAUGGAUUCGCGGCUUAUCAGCUUGUUGGUGGGGUAGUGGCUUACCAAGGCUUUGACGGGUAGCCGGCCUGAGAGGGUGACCGGCCACAUUGGGACUGAGAGACGGCCCAGACUGCUACGGGAGGCAGCAGUGGGGAAUAUUGCACAAUGGGCGGAAGCCUGAUGCAGCAACGCCGCGUGCGGGAUGACGGGCUUCGGGUUGUAAACCGCUUUCGCCUGUGACGAAGCGUGAGUGACGGUAAUGGGUAAAGAAGCACCGGCUAACUACGUG